UCUCAAUAAGUCUCAAAAUUAAAGAAAUAUUUCUAUAUAACAAUAUUUUAUCUUUUUUUAAUAAGUGUGUAAAUGAAGUUUCUAACACUUCAUUUAAUUUUAUUAUUUUUAAAUAUCUCUAUGGCUUUUUUUUAAUAGACAAGAUUGACAACAUUGAAAGUAAAAUGACAUAUCAAUUUAAAACGGAUAAAUAAAGAUUUAAAAUAUUUGUGAAUGUAAAGUAAUAGUUUUAAAUGUUGUUUCUCUUUCAGAGCAACAACAUACAGCUUUCAUUUCAAAAGUAUACAAAUUAAAAUUAUUGAAAUAACAUAUUAUAAGUAUAUUGAGCUGAUAUUCAUUCCUUCGUCCCCUUCAUUCGAGAUUAUUUUUUUAAAAGUAUUACAAAUAUAAAAAAGCCAGCUCACGAACGUUUGUAGAGAAAAAUAUUGUUAUAUAUUCACUCUUUUGCAGCUGUACUGACUUGUAAGCGGCACGUGAAUCUAUAAUUAUCGCAGUGUGUUUACGUGUCUUAUUUCUCGGGAUAUUCUGAAAGUAUGAGGGUGAUGCAAGUGCAAGGAUUGAAAGUAUCUGUCAUCAAGUAGUACAACAUUUCUGGGGUUUAGAAAAAUACAUGUUAAAUUAGCAUAUUUUACAAAAUAAUAAUAUGAUUCUGCGAG